UGGAAAUGAUGAAAUAGAGAUAAUUGGGUGCUGAAUGUUGUAUGAUUGGAAAUUUUUAAUAUGUAAGUUAAGUUUAAUAUUUUAAAGGGGGUGUGUGUGUGCGCGCUUGUGUGUGUGCAUGUUCGUGAAGGCUAUGGAAAGGGGGCACUGACUGGUGAUGCUGAUAUUGGAGUGCAUCUGAGGCUGUUGUAGAAACACAUAAGUUGUCAAUACAACAUUGCCGAUGAUUAUACCUUAAGAACAGCUCACCUAAGUAGCCUAGCACCCUAAAAUCUCUAACAGGUUCAUAAUAAAUGGUCCUGUGAUCUGAUCCAA